rnacentral:rRNA from 1 species
AACGAACGCUGGCGGCAGGCCUAACACAUGCAAGUCGAGCGAAGCCUUCGGGCUUAGCGGCGGACGGGUGAGUAACGCGUGGGAACGUGCCCUUUGGUACGGAAUAGCCCCGGGAAACUGGGAGUAACACCGUAUGUGGUCGAGAGACGAAAGAUUUAUCGCCAAGGGAUCGGCCCGCGUUGGAUUAGGUAGUUGGUGGGGUAAUGGCCUACCAAGCCGACGAUCCAUAGCUGGUUUGAGAGGAUGAACAGCCACAACUGGACUGAGAUACGGCCCAGACUCCUACGGGAGGCAGCAGUAGGGAAGCUUAGACAAUGGGGGAAACCCUGAUCUAGCCAUGCCGCGUGAUCGAUGAAGGCCUUAGGGUUGUAAAGAUCUUUCAGUGGGGAAGAUAAUGACUGUACCCACAGAAGAAGCCCCGGCUAACUCCGUGCCAGCCGCCGCAGUAACAC